rnacentral:rRNA from 1 species
CUAUGCAAACAAACGCCAGAAUCAGCAGCUCACCUUCUCUUCUAGUGUCGUUACACGGUUAGAGUUUGGGGAAUGAUCAAAACAUGGCUCGGUUUACAUGAUGUCCAUCCUACGGAUUGGGGAGGCAUGGUUUCCGUCAAGGAGUGGUGGCGCAACAUAGCUUCCGGGAGGUCAGAAUCUCAAAGGGCGCUUCUUUCCCUUAUGCUUCUUAUCUCUUGGGAAAUUUGGAAAGAGCGAAAUGCACGUGUGUUCCACAGCACGGCAAUUCCGGUCGGGGUACUUGUGACUCGCGUCAAAGCGGAAACUUCGCUGUGGUGCCUCGCGGGGGCGAAAUAUUUGUGUAAUAUAAUGCUGCGAGAGUGA